CACAUCAGGGAAAUGGAAACCAACUUCCUUUUUUUCUGUUUCAGGCUCCAUAUGCAAAUGGACUGGUGCAUGACUCAGUCGUAGAGAGCCAAACCAACUAUGGCAUGGAACAGAUGGCAGGAUUUAGAAGAUUCUACUCUGUAUCUCCAGCACCUAAUAUAAUUGGUAACACCAGUGGUUCAUGGUCCAAGAAUAAUGGAAAUGUCUCAUGUGACAAUUGUGAAAGAUUUCUGGA
rnacentral:lncRNA from 1 species